UCAGGACGAACGCUGGCGGCGUGCCUAAUACAUGCAAGUCGAGCGGACAGAAGGGAGCUUGCUCCCGGAUGUUAGCGGCGGACGGGUGAGUAACACGUGGGUAACCUGCCUGUAAGACUGGGAUAACUCCGGGAAACCGGAGCUAAUACCGGAUAGUUCCUUGAACCGCAUGGUUCAAGGAUGAAAGACGGUUUCGGCUGUCACUUACAGAUGGACCCGCGGCGCAUUAGCUAGUUGGUGAGGUAACGGCUCACCAAGGCGACGAUGCGUAGCCGACCUGAGAGGGUGAUCGGCCACACUGGGACUGAGACACGGCCCAGACUCCUACGGGAGGCAGCAGUAGGGAAUCUUCCGCAAUGGACGAAAGUCUGACGGAGCAACGCCGCGUGAGUGAUGAAGGUUUUCGGAUCGUAAAGCUCUGUUGUUAGGGAAGAACAAGUGCAAGAGUAACUGCUUGCACCUUGACGGUACCUAACCAGAAAGCCACGGCUAACUACGUGCCAGCAGCCGCGGUAAUACGUAGGUGGCAAGCGUUGUCCGGAAUUAUUGGGCGUAAAGGGCUCGCAGGCGGUUUCUUAAGUCUGAUGUGAAAGCCCCCGGCUCAACCGGGGAGGGUCAUUGGAAACUGGGAAACUUGAGUGCAGAAGAGGAGAGUGGAAUUCCACGUGUAGCGGUGAAAUGCGUAGAGAUGUGGAGGAACACCAGUGGCGAAGGCGACUCUCUGGUCUGUAACUGACGCUGAGGAGCGAAAGCGUGGGGAGCGAACAGGAUUAGAUACCCUGGUAGUCCACGCCGUAAACGAUGAGUGCUAAGUGUUAGGGGGUUUCCGCCCCUUAGUGCUGCAGCUAACGCAUUAAGCACUCCGCCUGGGGAGUACGGUCGCAAGACUGAAACUCAAAGGAAUUGACGGGGGCCCGCACAAGCGGUGGAGCAUGUGGUUUAAUUCGAAGCAACGCGAAGAACCUUACCAGGUCUUGACAUCCUCUGACAACCCUAGAGAUAGGGCUUUCCCUUCGGGGACAGAGUGACAGGUGGUGCAUGGUUGUCGUCAGCUCGUGUCGUGAGAUGUUGGGUUAAGUCCCGCAACGAGCGCAACCCUUGAUCUUAGUUGCCAGCAUUUAGUUGGGCACUCUAAGGUGACUGCCGGUGACAAACCGGAGGAAGGUGGGGAUGACGUCAAAUCAUCAUGCCCCUUAUGACCUGGGCUACACACGUGCUACAAUGGACAGAACAAAGGGCUGCGAGACCGCAAGGUUUAGCCAAUCCCACAAAUCUGUUCUCAGUUCGGAUCGCAGUCUGCAACUCGACUGCGUGAAGCUGGAAUCGCUAGUAAUCGCGGAUCAGCAUGCCGCGGUGAAUAC
rnacentral:rRNA from 1 species